GCAGUGACAUCUGGUACUACUACAAUUGCAUUGACAUCUGGUAGUACUACUACAAUUGCGCUGACAUCUGGUACUACUACAAUUGCAUCGUCAUCUGGUAC